rnacentral:ncRNA from 2 species
CUCUUCCUUCGGGGCGGGGUGAAACUCCCCACCGGCGGUGAGCCCUCGGCCUCUUUUAGGCCGCGGGAGAAGCCCGCGAAGCCCAGGAAGUCUGCAGCAUCUUGGGCCCGAUUCGGUGAGAAUCCGAAGCCGACCGUGAUGCCUAUUUAUGGCUGAGUCGGGAUGGGAGAAGGAGGCA